AUCAACAUGAAACCUGAUGAUAACAGAUACUGAUAAUGAUGUUUAAUAAAUUAUCGACUAGGAGUUGAUUCAUUGAGAAUAAACUCUAUGUGGUUCAGGCCACUGUUUCACUGAUUACUUGUUUAGUCAAUGUUGAUUGGAUUUUGGAGUUUUAAGGUACAGUGGUGGAAAAUUUUUUGAACAUCCCAUGCAUUUGUGAAAUACUGCAUUAAGAAUCACUCUUAGGUCUUCAAGUGUAAUUUCUUUUAGCACAGUCACAGCCAAAAUAAUAAACAAAUCCUUAAAAAAGCCAUUAGAAAUUUAAAAUUGAUUGGUUCCAUAAAAAUACAUAAGAAAUUUUGAGUAUUGGGUCAUUUUGGUACCAGUGAUCGACUGAUGAAGGUUGUGCUUUUCAUUAAAAGACACAAUUUUUGUUGCAAUGCUUUGUGUCUAUAUAAAGCCAGCACAUUUGAAAGUUCUUUAGAGACAAAAAUGGCUACAACAAGAAACGUAAUGCAGGGAACACACCUGAAGAUACAGAUUCUCAGCCAGGAAGGGUACAGCUGCCGCCACAUAGCCAGGAAGUGCAGAUGCAGUCCUUCAGCAGAUGGUUACACUCUGCAGAAAUAUAGACAAACCGACAGCUUGGAAGAAAAACCAAGAUCUGGGUGUCCAAGGGUUUCUUCACCAAGAAAUGACCACAUCCUGAUCCACAUGUGCAGUUAAAAUUGCCGAAUGACAUCACAGGAGCUUUAGCAGCAGUGGUCAAAACCAAACUGGUGUCCAGUGUUCCACCUGCACUGUACGUGGCCGACUUUUAGAUCAUGGCUGAAGGUCCAACAAGGCUGUCAAGAAGUCCCUGAUCAAUGAGAGACAGAGGUUAGCCCGGUGUUGUUGGGCCCAAGCAAACAAGAACUGGACAGCCAGGAAUUGGAAGGAAAUUCUGUUGUCAGAUGAGUCCAGUUUCCAGCUUUAUCUUCCUCCUGCUAAUGUGAGGGUACGCAGAAGGCCAGGAGAAGCAUUAUCUCCAGCAUGCACAGUACCUACUGUUUAGCAUGAUGGAGGCAGUAUCAUGGUUUGGGGAUGCAUGAGUGCUGCUGGUGUUGGUCAUCUCACUGUCUGCGAUGGCACAUUGAACUCUGCCAAGUAUUGUGCCAUUCUCCAAACCCACAUGCUCCCUUCUGCAUGUGCACUGUUCUGUCGAGGUCAAAACUGGAUGUUUCAACAAGAUAAUUCCCUUUGCCACACAUCCAGGGCCGGUAGAACUUGGCUGCAGGAGCUCAGUAUCCAGGUCUUAGAGUGGCCAGCUCAAUCCCUGGACAUGAGACCCAUUGAAAAUCUGUGGUGGAUCAUCAAAAGGUCCGUUUCAAAGCAUAAACCAAAGGAUUUAGAAGAAUUAAAAGCAGUAAUUUAAGAAGAAUGGGGUGAGAUUACCCCUUUUGAAACACAAAAAAGAUUUUUCCACAAAUAUUUCAUGAUAAUAUUUGACAGUGUCAAAUUUUAAGGGUGUCCAAAAACUUUUUUCCACAAUUGUGUAUGGAUGUAUGCAUUUAGCAGUUACAAGGUCAACAUAUAUGGAAAAGCUCCUCCUACUUAUGAACUGACAACACUUAUAGUGGUUUCGCCAUUUCUUCUGAUGCAUCUUCCCGAGUGGAACAUGUGUGUUUUCUCUUCAGGUGUGAGUGCUGCUAUGAUACACCAUCAUCAAUACUGUCCACAGUGUACAAGCCACCCUUUUGUUUUGUCAUCAUUUGGUUCUGUGGAAACUUUAAACUGGAUUGAGUCAGACUUUGCUUAAACUGUAGUGCUUAUUGUACCCAACCAAUAAUUUUAGCCAAAAAUGACUGAAAUCAUGGCUUAGACAUUGCUUAGUAAUAGGGAAGAAAAAUGUUACACUGAACUAAAACUGAAAAACAUGCAUUGAUUUUCAGCAUCGAUGUCACAGAUUUUGCCAAUGAAUCAGAGUAGCCCUAAAGUGGUAUGUGAUGGAAAUAUAGAAACAAUUCUGAUUGUUCAAUGCAUUAGUUAGUACUCCAGAAAAAAAUGUGAUAUGCUUAUCUGCUGCAAUUUUUAAAAAACAUUUUGUGAUAUUUACACUACUGUUCAAAAGUUUGGGAUCACACAGUCUUAUCUACAAAUCUAAUCUUAAUCUACUGCCACCUUCAGGUUUCUUAACUGGUGAAACAUCUACAUGACAGAUUUGCAUCGAAGUUUGAAAAGACAUUCCAGAAUACAAAUGACUGACAAAUGAAAGCUGUCAAAAACUUGGUGACGGAUUAGAGAAGUCAAAGUGGCAGAAAUUUGGUUGUUGGUACCAAUAUCACUGAAAUUCCAUGUUUCUUUAUGCAAAACUUGAUACACUACCGUUCAAAAUUUUGGGGUCACCCAGACAAUUUCAUGUUUUCCAUAAGAACUCACACUUCAGUUGUUUCCAGCUAGAAUAGUCAUUUACCACAUUGACAAUUUUUACACUGUAUUUCUGAUUCCUUAAAUGUUAUCUUCAGUGAAAAAAUGCUUUUCUUUCAAAAUUAAGGACAUUUCUAAGUGAUCCAAAACUUUUGAAUGAUAGUGUAGAUUUUUUUCACCCAAGGUCUAGUUUGCACAUGUAAACCUACACUUCAAGUUUUUAUGUGCAAAUUGAAACUGCUUAUAAAGAUAGACAUAAGAAGUCAGAGACUUAAUGGAAAUGCACUUGAGUCCAGUUCAUGCUUUUCAUGUAUGCGUGUUUGUGAGGUUACAUGUUGCAUGUUACAUGUGAUGUAAAUUUGAUUAUCUGCAUCCACCAGGGUCCACAUGGACCUCUCUGUAGAAGACCGUGUGCAGCCCGAAAUUUGUAACAUGCAGACUGCACAUGCACUAAGAAGAAAAAUGUUAUUCAAAUGCUUGUUUUAAGACUUGAGUCUUCCAUGCCUUCAUUGACUGAGCCCAAAUACAGAAGGAAGUGUUAAAUUCUCCAGAUAUCCUGUGCGACAUCCACCAACUGUGCUUUGGAUGAGAAGGCAACAACUGGGCUACUCUGCAGCACUUGGCACACUUCAGGAAUAAUCACUGACAUGCUGCUACAGGCCAGUCUGUAACUAGCUGCUAUAUCCUGUUACCUAAAAAGUGCAAAAACACAGCCAAACUUUCAGAAACGUC